GACGAACGCUGGCGGCGUGCUUAACACGUGCAAGUCGAACGGAAAGGCCCUGCUUUUGUGGGGUGCUCGAGUGGCGAACGGGUGAGUAACACGUGAGUAACCUGCCCUUGACUUUGGGAUAACUUCAGGAAACUGGGGCUAAUACCGGAUAGGAGCUCCUGCUGCAUGGUGGGGGUUGGAAAGUUUCGGCGGUUGGGGAUGGACUCGCGGCUUAUCAGCUUGUUGGUGGGGUAGUGGCUUACCAAGGCUUUGACGGGUAGCCGGCCUGCGAGGGUGACCGGCCACAUUGGGACUGAGAUACGGCCCAGACUCCUACGGGAGGCAGCAGUGGGGAAUAUUGCACAAUGGGCGGAAGCCUGAUGCAGCAACGCCGCGUGCGGGAUGACGGCCUUCGGGUUGUAAACCGCUUUCGCCUGUGACGAAGCGUGAGUGACGGUAAUGGGUAAAGAAGCACCGGCUAACUACGUG
rnacentral:rRNA from 1 species